rnacentral:rRNA from 1 species
GCCCUUAGAGUUUGAUCCUGGCUCAGGAUGAACGCUGGCGGUAUGCUUUACACAUGCAAGUCGUACGAGAGUUUUUAACUCAAGUGGCGGACGGGUGAGUAACACGUAAGAAUUUGCCUUUAGGAGGGGGAUAACAACUGGAAACGGUUGCUAAUACCCCAUAUGCUUUCGAGUAAAAUGGAUUUUCCGCCUAAAGAGAAGCUUGCGGCUGAUUAGCUUGUUGGGGAGGUAAUGGCUCACCAAGGCGACGAUCAGUAUCUGGUUUGAGAGGACGAUCAAACACACUGGAACUGAAACACGGUCCAAACUCCUACGGGGAGGCAGCAGUGGGGAAUUUUCCCCAAUGGGCGAAAGCCUGACGGAGCAAUACCGCGUGAGGGAUGACGGCCUAUGGGUUGUAAACCUCUUUUUUCAGGGAGGAAUCAAUGACGUGUACCUGAAGAAUAAGCAUCGGCUAACUCCGUGCCAGCAGCCGCGGUAAGACGGGGGAUGCAAGUGUUAUCCGGAAUCACUGGGCGUAAAGCGUCUGUAGGUGGUCAAAUAAGUCAACUGUUAAAUCUUGAGGCUCAACCUCAAAAUCGCAGUCGAAACUAUUCGACUAGAGUAUAGUAGGGGUAAAGGGAAUUUCCAGUGGAGCGGUGAAGUGCGUAGAGAUUGGAAAGAACACCGAUGGCGAAGGCACUUUACUGGGCUAUUACUAACACUGAGAGACGAAAGCUAGGGUAGCAAAUGGGAUUAGAUACCCCAGUAGUCCUAGCCGUAAACAAUGGAUACUAGAUGUUGAACAGAUCGACCUGUGCAGUAUCAAAGCUAACGCGUUAAGUAUCCCGCCUGGGAAGUAUGCUCGCAAGAGUGAAACUCAAAUGAAUUGACGGGGAAGGGC